rnacentral:lncRNA from 1 species
GGCUUGUUGAGAAGGCUAAGGGUCUACCCAAGUCCAGGUAAGGCUGACUAGUGGAGCUCCGAGUGAUGAAGUAACAGUUUCCCAUGACUUGUCUGUGGGUCUCAGGCCACAGCAUGCUAGGAUAGCUCUGGCUGCUGAGGAAAACAGAGGUCAUUAAACAUGAUUUUUGCCAUCUUGGAGUCUGCUUGUAGUUUCUCAGCCAGUUAAUUGGCCUGGGAGCUAUUAGAAAAGUAAUUAGGAAAGAAGACAGGAAGUACAAGGAGAAAUGAGGGUGGACCCUUCUUAGUCGUAGUGAGCUGACAUUUGAGUCAAGGAAUCUAGAGUGGGGCUGAUCAGAAAGACUAGGGACUCUCUGGAUUCAGGGGUGGUGGAUGAUCUUGGGCGGCUGUGUGAACAACUCCUCCCACGAAGCCUGUGAAGUUUCUUUGCAUCUGGGCUGGUAGUUCUGAUGGUUCCAUGGAUACAUGUGUUCAGGAUUUCUGACCCAACUCCCAAGGUCACACACUCAUCCACUUUGCAGGCAAUUGUGAAAACCUGUGGACAUAGAGUUC